CUCCCAUGAUGAUUCCGCCAUGCUAAUACUGAUGUGCCAGGCAGCUUGUCUGGGCGCAAGUGCGUUCAACUCGACUUCUCACGCUGAUCGCUUCAGCGUGUGCUGAGGAGA